rnacentral:lncRNA from 1 species
GACUGGAAGACCAAAGGGAGACCGAUGAGAGGACUAUGAGGAAACCAUGAGAAGAAGAGAUAGUGUAGGAGACUUACUCUAACACAGCCAGAUGAUCUUGUCCACUUUUGAGCACUGACUUGUCUUAUACAACCAUUGAGUGUGAAGAUUAAAAGGCAUCCUGGAGAUGAUUUAGUACAAUAUUGUCAUUUUAUAGAUACCACAAAUUUGAAAGUGCAGAGAUUAUUAUAUUCUAAAGUGUACAACAAUAUACCAUAACUUGGACAAUACUUAUGUGAAAAAGACCAACUUUGUGAUGAAGAGCAUCCUGGAAUCACUGAGGACACUCUACUAGUACCCAGUUGGAAUAAAAAAUCCAUUCUGUGUUUUUCCUCUCA